GCUGCUACUUCCAAUGAGCCACAACACACAGAAGGUAAUGUGACUGGGGUACAAAAUCAUCUAAUCACGGCAUGAAUCUGGAAACAUUUAAAGUUUAUGUGUAAUUAAUGGACUUAUUAUGAUUAGCUCUAUAUGGACAGAUACCUUUUUCUUCAAAUUCUGACAAGUUAAAACGGAUGUAAGAAGAAUUUGAAAUAUCGGCUGCCUUUUUCUGGAUCUCAGUUGCCAGUGGUGAUGGGGGUUUUAGCUGCGCCCUGGGCUGACCUGGCUCUGUUCUUCAGACACUUGACUGACUCAGGCUCAGGGGAGGGCAUCCUGUUUCCUCUGGGCCUCUGUGGACUUGUGCUGUUUGUCUCAGUAUGUCUCAUUCUCCUCCAGCUCAUCAUUUACUUUCACUGGAAACUCAGACAGGUUGAAACAGAGUUGUCGAUUACCCUGAAGAGGAGCGCCCUCAACAGGUCAACCCCCAGAAGUGCAGACUGUAAGAGCAAGAUUUUAUGAUGUCUCACCUGCAAUGGAUUUACAUUACAACUGUCUGCAAAGCAGCGUUUUAUGUUUGGAAUAAGCAAAGGCAAAAAUGUGGCUUUUAGGGCACAUUUAUGGACAUGUUUGAGAAACCUGCUGGAUAUGUUACUUUUUGAACGACUAUUGCACAUAAAUAUAAACCUGUACACUUGUAUGUUACAGCCAUUUUCCUAGUAUUCCUAAAAUACUAGUUUGGCCCAUGUAAUAUUUUCUUUUUGAGAAUGUAAUAUUUUCUUGAGUUUUCCAUGCAACUCCAAA